GAAAUCCCGAUGCGCUUAAAAUUAUCAUAGCGCUUAAAAAAAUGACCGAUAUCCCUUUCUUUUGUGUCUAUAAGUUAACCCCAAUUAGCCAAAUAAACAAGCCAAUAUACAUGUCCUGUGUAGAUAAUUACCCGAGGCGUAUACGCAACCCGAUACACUGAUUGCCUUUAGACUGUGUGACGUCACAGACACCUGUCAUCGAUGUCUGCAGACGACUGUUGGUGCACUUUCAGGUGUUGUCAAUUACCGUGUAUUGAGAUGGGUGCAAUUUAACCGCGGCAUGUGUGAUAUUUACAUGUUUCAGGCCCUCUUUAAACGAGCCUGUUCAUGGACAGCUUUGUGAAGUGCAAUCUACUGUCCUACCCCUUAGCAUUGGUUUGUCAGGACAUACAGGAGCUGGCCAGGCACUUUGGUGUAGAUAUGGAGCAGUGCCGCAGCCACUGGCACCAGGUAUGUGCCAGUCUAGAGGGGACUGAUCAGUCAGCCGACCAGACCAUGACCUGGAUUACUGGCAACCUUUCUACCAGUCAUCCAGCUCUUUACAGAAUUGCUGCUGUGGGUCUCCUCCUCCCAACCUCUACUGCAGAUUUUGAGCGAGGAUUCAGCUGCCUGAAGAGAGUUAAGACUGAAAACAGGAAUUGUCUCUCUGUUAAAGUUCUAAAUUAUCUUCAUCUCCCUUUAAGGACCCCCAUUAGAAUCUUUCAACUUUGAGAAGGCAGUCAAGGCAUGACAACAAACCUAGAAGACAGGCCCACUUUUAAUGAUGUUAAUGAAGAAAAAACAACUGAAAUAUACUCAUUUAAAUGGGACACACACAUACAUAUAAAUGUUGAUCAC